UUGCUCUGUCCCAGCCAGGAGGGGGCUGUGGCUCCACUCCUCCCUUACACAGGCAAAAGGAAUGGGGAGAGACAGAUGCUCUUUUGGUGGGAAACUUCCCUUGCUCAAACUUUAACCCGGAGGAAUGAAUUUGCAGCUCAAAGAGGAGCUAGAAACCCAGAGGCACAAAAUGGAACAAACAGCACACCCCACAGUAUGGCUGCAUGGAAUGUAUGGAAUACUGUGUCCUGCUGAGCAGAAGAAUGAGAAUGCUGGGAUGGUUUCUCUGCUGGCUUAAGAGGAGCUGCACACAUGGCAAUGAAGGGUGCCUGGCCUUGAGUUUGCUUGCACACAGGUUAGCUGAACUCCAGCCUCCUCUUGCUGAACCAUAUCUUAGCCUCUGGGCCAGACCAAAUCAGUCUGCAGAGCCAGCCAGUGUCGAUGUUUGACACCUGUCUCCUUCAGAGGACAACACUGAUAAAUCUGCAGCUUCAUCUGGGCCUGAGGCAGCCAAACCCACUGCUUCACAAGGUGGGCCAGUGAGGCUGAGCUUUCCAACCAGCCUGGAGCCUUAAAUCUUCAAACCUGGGUCUGGUUUGGUAGAGGAUCUCAGAAUGGUGCUCUGUGUAUGUGACUGCUGUCUCCUGAAGUCACCCACAUUCUGAGCAUCUGACUCUCCUACAGGGAGCAGAGUGCCAAAGGCUGCUCUCACAGUACAUUCCUCAAGUGACUACAAGAUGUUUUAGCAAAAGCAACCUCAUGCUGCUCCAAGUGAUGGCUUGAGGGUGAAGCUCAGCAGUGCCCUGCUGCUCACCUGGGCACAGGCAAAGGGUGAGUGUGGCAGGUGAAAACACCUGGCUACAACUGCGCUUCUUAAAGAGUCUCCCUUUUGCCUUUUUAAUAGUUGUAUUUGCCCUGUUCAAGGGAUGGGAGUGGAUUUAGCAAUAUUUUCCUUUCUUUUGCACCCUUACUCAUCUCUGCCCAUGUGUUGGAGCAGCUGCCCUGUAGGGUGGUGAGAAAGUUUGCAGGUAAAUAUUGAUUAUUUCUUCAUAGUAAUUCAGCAAAAAGACUGCACUUUACUUAUCACCUGCAUUGCAUCCCAUCUCUCAAGUGGAUUAGUUCCUUAGAAGAGAAACCCUUACAUAUGUGAAGGAAGCAGUCCUUUAAAAUAGGUACAGAAUCCCUGAUGAAGGAUCCCCAGAGCCCUAUAACCAUUUUGCUGCCUUCAUUAGUGCCUAAAAACAAGGGAUGUUGUGUGGGGGAAAGAAAUGAGGUGGGAGGCAGCUGAUGAGAGGAGCAAUGUACCCUGCUAAAAAAACUCAUCUGAACAGAUACAUCCAGGACCUCUGUGUCUCCUUUCACCUGCCUCAUUCUGAGCAACCACGUCAAAAAGGAAAAAAAAUAUUUAAAGCUCUGGUAACCAGAGCCCCGAUGGAAAACAGGAUAAAUAUCAGCGGAGCUGGUGCUGCCACGGGUGGGAAACCCAGGCAGCACCAGGACCAGCACAUCCCUGGCCGUGGCAGCAUCUGUGCUGCCCUGCCUUGGUGCAGGUUCCAGUGCUGCUCUGUGCUCUCCUUGGAUCCAGCGCUGUGUUCAGCAGUGGGCACUUGGUUAAUUCUGUUUUCCUGGUGCUGAGGGGGAGGAAGAGCUCGCUUUAGGCCCCAUGCAUUGGGAGAUGCUACCUGUCCUUAGGGAUUUCCUGAUCCUGAGUGCAGCCCUUUCUUGGGAAGGAGCUGACCCUGUGAGACACCGAGGCCACCAGGGCACUGACAUGUGAGGGUGGUUUUAGGCCACGUCACUGCAGCCUCAGCCCUCUCCUUCCCCUCUCACCUUGCCAAAGUCAAGGCUGCUUUUCCUGCAGCCCUGCCCUUCUGGCAGCUGUGGGUCUCUGCUGCUUGCCAUGACCUCAGUCUAUCAUCUGAGGAUGCAGCAGUUAAAUAACAGCCUGAGCGUCUGCAAAACAACUGUGGGAGUCCCUCGGGCCGCCGGGGCUGCUGUUCCUCCCCGGAGCCCCAGGGAGCAGAGCAGUGGCUGGGAAGGCUUCUGAGGACAGCGGCAUAGAAGCAGCUCACACAGUGCCUGGAGGCUGCCCAGUCCUGCAACAAAUGCCGGUAGGGGGGAUGCAUUUCUCCUGGCCCUUCCUGGUUUGCAGAAGUCAUCCAUCUUGUGACAGAAAGGGGCACAAGGAGAAGAGCAGGGAUGCCUUUCUGACUCAAAAUCAGUCAAGAUAGGGAUAAUAUUUUAACGUAAAACUCUGACUAUUUCCAGUAGUGGUGGUUCUUCCUCACCAGGAUUUCUGCAUCAGUCAGUUCUGUGCUGCUUUCAGGAAGACAUCUGCCUGGUGCUUGGGAUGGAAGUUGUGCUCUUUGCUCUCUGGGGAUGGCUUCCCCUGGGUGGAGUAUUGGUUCCUGCCUUCCCUAAGGAUAGCCUUUGCCUGCUGCUUGUUUUCCUCCCUGAAUGCCUGUUUCCAAGGGAAAGGGCUGCUUUAGGGUUCAUGCUCCACUCCUGUACCCCUGGUGAGGGCUGUCAGAGCCCUUCCCAGCCUGGUGAUGGGGACUGCAGGCAGUGACUGCUGCUUACCUGCAGUGUGCUUUGGGGCCUCCAGGAGCAGCAAAGCUCCUCUGUAAACUCCAGCAGAACACAGGCUGUAUGUUGAGGUAAUCAGCAUCCUUGAUCUUCUCCUCUGAGACCCAGCAGUUAGCUUAUUUGCACUCUGUUGUGGCUAAAAUACAAAGAAAACAAAUAUGAAAGAUUAUUUAAUGAACUCUGGAAAUGAAUAAUGAAUACAGCAUUUUUAAGUGGUUCUUCAGGCUGCUCCAGAGUGCUAUCCUGAGAUGUGAGAGCAGGAAUCUUGGCUGAUAGAGAGGAGGGCAGUCAUUUGGUUCCUGAAUGAGCAGCUCACAGGAUGAAUGGGACAGUUAAUUGUUUCUUGAAGCAAACUUCUCAGACAUCAGUGUGUCUAAGAAGGAAGCUUGACAAUGUGCUGAGCCUUAAUUUUUAAACCUUGUGAAAGAUGGGCUUAACUUACCUUUGCUUUGAGUUGGUGCAAUGCCACUGACUUCAGUGGAGAAUUUGUAGCCCUCACAUUUCACCUGCCUGGCUAUUUGUUGGCACUGCAAUGAGAAAUGAAACACCAAGCAAAGUUUUCCAGCAAGACUACAAUUUUCUGAAAGAUCCCAUGCUGACAGAAGAGUAGAAUAUAUGACUGACUUAAACUGAUUUGUUACAUGUCUUGUGUCAGACACAUUAUCUGUGCCAUGAUAUCCUAGCUUAGUCUAGAUCUGAAAACCAAGAAAGCUGUCUGAAACCUUCAUCUAUUGGGAGACUGGCUCACAUUCCAAAUAAGUUAUACAGCAUUUUUUCCUAGACUGAAAACAAUUCAGGUUGGUCUUCAGUUAUUGCUUAUAACUCAAAAGGGCUCUAGAAUAGCUGUGCAUUUUGGGUUUGGUGUCCCUUGGAGUCCUUGGUGGAUAGACUCAUGAUAGUGAAGACAUUUUAGGGAUGGAUGACUCAAGAAAUUUCCCUUUUAGAGUCUCUUUAAAAUAACUUCAUUUGAAUGAGAAAAUCAGAAGGAUUAUUUUUAAAAGCAAAUGUGUAUUUCAGUAUAGUGUGAGUGCAUGGAUGAAAAAAAGCCAAUUUAAGAAUUAAAAAUCCAGGAAAAUUAUUAGCAAAGGCACAAAGUCUUCAAGUUACCAACAAGGAGAAAAUGUGCAAGCAGCCAGCAUCUCAGGAGCUCUUUUAUUGUGAAGGCAUCUUCUGUGCCAGGGGACUGAAGUGGAGGUGAUGGGGCCAUGGUGAGGACCAGUGCUGCCUGUCCCAGUCUGCGCAGCCCUUCCUGCCCUGCCUCGUGCUGUGCCCGACCCCACCUUGGGAUGGCUGCGUCCCUGGAGCCUGGCAGGCAGCUCCCACGGGGACAGCAUUCCUCACCAAGGCUCUUCCCACCUCCACCCCACGGAGCAGGCAUUGCUCAGGUGCUGUGGGAGCAGGACCUCGGCAGGGCUCCCUGGGAGCCAGAUGUCAGUGAGAGUCAAGUGAGCCCUUUACUGAAGUGGGUGUGAUGUGAAGAAAGUUUAACUUUUAUUUUCAUGCUUGAGAGACUAUUACAAACCAGUCAAGUCUUUGGUGUGGCACCUGGUGGGUUGUGUUUGUGUGAGACACAGAUGUGGUCCAUAACUUUCCUUCCACAUCAAAGUUUGCAUCUUUGCAUUCAAGGUCAAGUGUGGUUUUCUUAAUUCAUUCUUCUCUUACAAUUUGUUUUCCCCAGCUUAAAAAUUAAGGGUUACACUUAUGUAUUGUUGCAUGUAAAGAUAGAAAUUUGAUUUUUAAAACAUGUCAGACAUCUCUUUGAAAUUGGGAGCUAAAUCCCUAAAUAUCUUUUGGAAUCUGGAGCUGUGCACCAGAUGGCGAAUCAGCACUUAAAGAAUAAUUUCACAAAGGAAGUGGAGUGAAAUUAUUUCCUUUAGCAAAUAGUCUCACAGCAUGAAGAAAGAAAGCAGAGCCAGCAUCUUGCACAGGGAGAUCAUGUUUAUUUCCCCCCUCUUCAUGCCUCUUUCCUGGAGUUUUGGGGGCUCUUUGUUUUUUUUUUCCCCCUAUGGAUGCAUCCAGGCCACAUCAUGGCACAAUGGAAUGUGCCAAACUAGGUAUUGGUUGCACUCUAAUUGGCACCAGUUGCAGGUCAGAGUGAGCACUUUGUGGCUCAUGAAAGGCUGAACCUUUUUUAUGUCCUGAAGUGAUUUGAGAGUAGAUAUAAAUGUCACAGAUACACUGAACAAGAAUUACUGGCCUGCAGAAUUAAUCCAAGAUAAUGUCAGAGGCUCUUCGAGGCAGGCUGAUAAUGUGGUGUGUCAGCCUUAUGUAACUGAUACAUGUACCUGAGCUCAUGUGCAAAUGCAGGGGCUGCAGCUGGGCCCAACGCCCCAGGACAUGGACAGGGAAAUCCCCAUGUCAGAGUAUCAGAGACUGGCAGUGUCCCUGGUGGGGAAAACCCAGUCCCUGAUCACCUCUGAAGACAACGGUGACCCUGCAGAUUGUCAGCAAUCAGUCCUAAUCUGGACAGUCUAGAACAGACCUCCAAAGUUUCCUUAUCCUGGCUGCUGGGGACAUGUGGGGUGUGCUAGUAAGUGUUUUUGCAGUGUCUGGGAGGGAAAUGAAACUUUCUAGACAGGUGGAGCUCAUCAGUUCUCAAAAAAACAGCUUCUGCUUAGAGAUCAAACAACUGCCAUAUGGUGUUGUUUUUUCCUAUAGCACAAACAUAUUUAGCUGUGCCAGGAGAAGUCUGGGGAGCUGAUUGUCAGUGGCCACACAGGAUAUGGCUAAACUUGGAUUAAAACACUACCAAAGCAUGGAGCAGCUCUGGAGAAAGGAGCUGAAUGGCAAGUGGGGGAGGGAGUGAUGCAGGGGUCACUUAGGGAAAGAAGUACUGCUCAAUUUAACCUCACUUCUAUUGUAUGAAAACCUGGCUGGUGCAAAGAUACAGGUGUAAAAAAAUGUUAAAACUUCUAAAACCCUUUAUAUGACUAGACUCCUUCACCAAGCUCUGAAUCAACAUUAUUUCAGUUUAAAAAAACCCUCACCAAACAAAUAAUUGCAUGUUACUGCUCUCAUUCUUGGCUAUAAGAUAAAAUCUCAUUAGUAGCUGCAAUAAUAGCAUGUCUAAGAGCAAAAUUUGGCUUAAAAUGCUUUCACUUUCACAACACCCACUUUUCAUUUGAAUGCUCAAAGCUGCUGCAAAACAUUUUUGAAAAUUAGCUAUUAGCUACAUAGUGUAGUAAUUUUUCUAGUGACAGCCAUUGCACAGAACAUCUACAAUGUAAUAAACUUUUGCAAUACCUUAUAUUUGUCUUGUCAUUGUCUAUCAAGUGUUGUUAUUGCUAAACUUGUUCCAGUGCUGACUCAGUUGAUGAGCAUAAUUUUACCAUGUAGGCAGCCCUAAUUCGUGAUGAUCUGGGGCUUCACACAGCAUCUAGAACCUUCCUCAAAAGCCAUUUUGCAAGUGACUAAGGCAUUCAUGAAAGAUCUUAGAGCUGGAGUUUUGUGCUACAAAUGCAAAGCAGCAUUUAUUAUUUGGGCUUUACAAAUGCAGUUUUAAUUUUGCCUUAAUCAAUACUUCAUUAAAGUGGGCCAUGUAGGAACUGUUUGUGUCUCUGCUCUCCCAAGCAGCGCUCUGUGUCACAUUAGGAAAGGGAAAAAACUUUUUUUUUUUCUUUUUUUUCUUUUCCUUGGCCUCCCCUCCCCUCCAGGCUUUCUGCUCCAGUGGUUUGUAUUGUAGUCAUACUAUGCUUGGAGUGACUCAAGAGCAUCCCUAAUGCUGCAUCCCUGGCACUGUAAGCAAAUCAGCUAUUUCUGUGCAGCAAUCUGUAAGCUGCACUUCAAGAAAAAUUUCCUUGUCUGCUGACAGACAAGGCAGUGAGGUUUGAGCAGAGAGGGCAGUGGCAGCAAAAGGAAAGGUGCCUGUCUUCCCUGGUGCAAUAAGUGCAAAGCAGCUGGGGCAGGGCUCAGUGGCACUGGGGCUCCCUCUGGCACUGUGGGGUGAGGGGCUCUGCUGCAGCCCCCGCGUUUGGCUGUGUGCCACAGGGAGUGCAAGGGCAGCAGGGACAGGCCUGGGGUGCCUGGGGGCUGUGCCAGGGCCAGCACAGCCCUCUGGAGUGCAGCAGAGCUCAGGGCAUGGCACCCUAGCUACAGCCUGGAGAGACACGCAGGGACUCGGGUUUGUGCCCGUCGUGUUCCAAAUGCGAUCCCCUCGCAGCAGGGAAUUCGGCCUUGGCACAAGGUUUGGUCUCAAGAGGAAGGUGCCUCCUCCCUCUGCCCCUCUUAUCAUUGCUGGUGCUGGCCCGGGUGUGUGCAGGCUCCCCAGCUGUGGUCUGGCAGGAGCAGAGUCACCCCCUGGAGUGACUGGCACCAAGGUUACCUGCAGAGAGGGUGUUGGACACCUGCAGGGAGAGGGAUCACAAAAAUCUGGAUUGCUUUGUCCUUAGAUCUGUCCUGCCAAGGCAAAAUCCUUUCCCUCUCAGAAAAUCACAGGUCUCCCUGGCGUGGAGUCACAUCUGGCAUCCAGGAAAGCUGCUUUUUCCUUUGCUUUCAUUUCUAGAAGGUUUCCUGUAAGUUUCUUUGGAUUUUAGGCUGAGUUUGUUAAAGCCUGAUGUUCUUUCCCUCCCACUCCAGUAUUUCACAGGGGUCCUUUUUUUUUGCCCCCUGCCUUUUGUUAGAUAACAAAUUGCUCCUGCACCACUGGAGCUGUGGUUUGCUGUGCUCUCUGUACAAGAUGGUUUCAGAGAGUGGAGGAUUAGCUCAGACCUCUUAACUAAUCUCCCCACACACCACUUUUGAGGCUUCAAGGCUCACCUGCUUUUUAGCAAAUCAGAGUUGACAGUGGCUGACUUCAAUGCUGGUGGAAGCUUUCCUCUGUUUCGUGGGGUUUGUGGAUGGGCUGUUGGCAAGUGCUCCUGCCUGCAGCUGCUAAAGCCUUCCCCCACUCUGUAUGGAGGUGCAGCAGUUGCCUCCAGUGAGUCCCUGGGGGCAUUGCUGCAGUGCCAAAAGCUUGUUUCAUUGCAGGGAUGGGGCAGAGGCUGCAGAAGGGCAGCUCAGUGCACUGAGCUUAGAGCUGCCUUUGCUGGGGGAAUUGAUGCCUGCAGUGUAAUGUGCGAGUUGUAACCAGAGGUCUGGUGUCCCAGUUAGCUCCAGUGACUAUGUGAGAAUGGCACUACUAUUACUGAGAAUAAACCUACCCUGCAUCCUAUAAAAAAUCCAGCGAGACGCCCUCAGAUCUUGUAAACACUCCCGUUGCACUGCUGACUGCUGGCUUGAGCUGCAGCCUAGGGAGGAGCCAAGAGGUGGAGGAGAGCCACCCUCCCUCCCAGAGUGGUCUGGCCUGGGGUGGAAUUAACCUCUUUGUUCAGUGCAGAGGAAAAAGAAUUCAAAGCAGGCCAGGGCUGACCUACAUUUGAUCCUUGCAAUGUGCAAGUUCUGCUUCCUGCGCUUUUUCUUGUGGUGACCUUUUGUUCCUAGGAGGUAAGAACUGCUUUGAGGCGUUGCUGUAUGCUUCGUACAGCAAAACUUUCCUUCCAACAGGAACGGAUAAUGUGAAGAUUGCUAUUUCUGUCACAGGAAAUCCCAAAGUCGAAUUAAAAAAAGGAAAUGUGUUCUUGUGAAGUCUUCAAAUAUCAUAGGAUUAAAUCUCUCUUUAGAUCCUGACAUUAUGGGUGGGAUGAUUGCCACUGAUCUCUCAUAUGUGCCGUGUGCUUUGGAAGAGGAUGUUUUGCCAAAGUCUCUCGUCACCACCAACCAAAUCUCAGUGAGCAGGGCAGAGAAAUGUGGUCUGUGCCAGCGGGGUGAGGAAGGGGCCAGGGGGCUGGGUUUUCAAACUGAAAACUGAGGAAAGGAUGGGUACUUUCAUCUGCUUGUGAGAGGGGAGGGAGCAGGAAUGGUUCUUUCAGAGGCCGAGAGGCGAUUCAGAGCAGCAUAUGGUAGUCCAAGGCAGAGCUGUGCCAGGGCUUUUUUUUUCCCUGCUCCCUCCCGUCUGUUUUCUGGAGGAACAAAGGCACGGCUGAGGAAGGAUGUGAGGAAAGCUGCUUGGGACUGAACAAGGCUUUUGACCUUCAACGAAAUAUCUGCAUUUACAGAACUGGGACCUGAGGCUUAAAGAAACUGGGAGAGCCACUCCCAAGGCCUAAGUGAUGGACGUCCCCCUUGCACCCUCCUCACCCUCUCCUUAGUGACCACUACCUCCCAGCCGCUCUGAGCCUUCAGCUGAUGGAAAUAAGAGUCGGCAGAGAGCCUUCUGAAAAGACUCUUCUUUAGGGGGAGCACAGGCAGCUGCCUGAGGCCAGGGGCCUCUCCCAGCAUCACUGCAGCACUGGUGGUGCUGUGCGAGGCUCACUCCAAGAGAUGUUCAGUGCCUCUUCCAUGGCCCACACAAGAGGAGGCACUGCAGACUUUAAGGAAUACUGGGAUUUUUCAAUUAUGUUUUCCUACCAGACAGUGACAAGGCCUCUUGGUGCUUGUCUUCUGGGAGCCAUCAGUGAAGAAGUGCAUUGGUGUUGCUGCCUCAUUACGUAUCAAAGCGUGUGUUUUGUUUCACUUUCUCCUGAGAAGGGGCUGGAGAGUGUGCAGGUGAGGAUGGACAGAAGUGGCCGUUCCCAGCAGCCUCCCCGCUGCAGGCUCAGCUCCCCGGUGGCACAGCGUGCAUGCACUGCCUGCUGCAUUGUGCUGUUUGCAGACAUGACUUGUCCCAGCUGACUAAGGGAACAAAAACACCACGCGCAGAGCCCAAGGUGUCUGCAGGCAGCCACAUCUCCACAGGGUCCCAUCUCUGUCAGGGCUCGGCCACAAAACCGAUCUGCCCUAUCUUGCCCUGCUGGCUCCUGACACAGGCAAAUGCUGUCCAGUCACAAGUCACUGCCAGGAGGGCACUUGGUGCCUUUUGGCUGGGUUUGUCAGCCAGCACCUUUUCCCUUCCGUGCAGCGAGCCAGGUGAGCUCAGCUGAGCAGUGGCGAAUGCCUCGGGGCAGAGAGCAGCCUGACCUUAUCAGUGGAUUCAGUGUCUCUUUCAUUUGAAGGGUGCUGAGGUUAUGCAGUCAGAGGCAGGGGAUGGAAAACAGUGUUUGCUGGAGCAGAACAUCAGCUCCUGCUGUGUUACCCCUCCUGCACAGUGAAGUGAAGCUGUGACCAAGACCAGAAUGCAACUGGUUGGCUCCAGGUUUUGUUACAAUCUUGAGUUCAGGUUAUUUGUGCAGACUUGAUUCUGCUGCAUCCCACCCUCUGAGAGCUCAACUGCUUCCAUGUCUUCUGUGUGCUGCUUGAAAAAAAAAAAAAAAAAAAAAGAGAGAGAACUAGAAAUCCAUCUGUCCUGUUUUGUGGCAUUGCAUUUAACAGCCACACGGGCCUUUUGAUUCGCUUUACUUUGCUUUAUGGACUAGCAGAGCAGUGAACUGUCAGGCACUUAUGUGAUGGCCCUGUUUAGUUUUCUUUUCUCUCCACUGUACCUCGUGCUGUGCAAGAUCCAGCUUUGCUUGGAUCCUGCACAGUGCCCUUCCUGUGUCCAACUCCUGCUCACUUGAGAGCAGUCAGCACAAUUCAUUUGCUGUGGGAUAGAACCUGUCAGCAGAUUUUCCUCCUUCCUCGUGGAAAGGCUGAAUCCAACACAGCACUGCCACUGUACUCUGCAUUAUAAACUCCUCCAAGCAGGGAUUUGCUCUUGCAAAGCAUCUUCCUCUGUCCCUCUCUAGUGGCCAGCACACAAGCAGAGAUUUAUGAAUUUCCAUCACCAAACAGUUUUGCAGAGCAGUUGGGCUUGCUGUCAAGUGCUGUGAUUGUCCCUUGAUGCUAAGCAUCCAGUGUGGAAUAUCAGGUCAUGGCUCCGAAGGAACAGCAAGUCAGAGCCUCUGUUGAUAUCAGCCUCUGCAAUGCCUCUGAAGGCAGCACAGCUCCAGCACUUCGCACCACACAUGGUGUGUGCCAGCCUUCAUCUGGCAUCUCCAGCUCUAAUAGGAACAUACGCUUGGCUAAAUUAGGAAGGAAUAUUUUUGUGCUUUAGUAUAAGCAUACUAACAAUUCCAGUUUAUUUUAAGGAUGUGUCUUAAAAGCAUUAAAAGUGGCAUAAAAUAAUAAUAUAUGUAAUUUACCACUGUGGAGACUGUCAAGUGUUGUCAUGCUAUGGCAUUGUAUUUAAUACCCAGGCCGCCAAGAGGCAUCGCUAAUAGAAUUUGCAUUAAUACACACAGCUUCUUUAAAAAUUAAUUACCCAAAGUAGAGCAUCAUGUACUGAGACUCUCAAUCAGGAGAGAAACACUGAAGCAGCACUGAAAUAAGCAGUCUCAGAGCUCCUUGGGAAGUCAAGGGUGGCUGGGAACAUUGCCCCAGCGCUUCUCUCCUGCCCAGCGCAUCACGACGGGGAUGCAGACACAAACUGACAGCAGGAAGCAUUGCCAUGGAAAAUUCUGAAGGAAAUCAUAGAUUUGGACUGGGCCUGGAGGCUGCUGUGCUGCUGCUGAAGGCUGCUGCUGUUGCAGCUGCAAAGAAAUACAAGGAACCAGUUAGGUCACGAAAAGGAAAUGUGAUCUUUCCCAAUGUCUCCCCAGAGGCAGGGAGGUGCCAGCAACCCUCACAACACGUGUGGGUCACACGUUUGUGUGCUCAGGGAGGUUUGCAUGGGUCAGAGUGCCUGGCAGCACCAGUGAGGAAAUGUCUGAUAACCCUUGUCAGCCCCUCUACCUUCCUCUUCUUCCAUCAGCCUGCAAAUGCAAUGGCAGAUUGGGCUGCUGUUCACUUGACUGUAAUAAAUUAGCAGCAGCCAUUCAGUCUCCAGCCCCUCCAGUUUCUUCAUGUGCUGGAAAUGGCUGGAGAUGCAUUUUGGCUGCUCUACAUGGAGGAAAAAAAACCCAGUUUUACUGGGCACAUGUAUUGAUACAUUUAGUCAGAAGCUGAACAAAGUUAAUGGUAUUUGUGAAAACACUUGGGCAGCUUGUGGCCUUCUCUUCUUUUGUACUUUAGCUUUGCUGGGUUGUAAGUCUGAGCUCUGGUGUGGCCACAAGGGAUCUGACCUCAUUGCUCAUGGAUAUCCUUUAUAUCAGCUGAGUGAGGGGCAACAGGCCCAGGAAUGUGGAUUGUGCCUGAGCCAGGCAGAGUUUCUUUCUCUCCAGUGAGUUUUUCACAUUGCUGAACUCUUUACAGCUUUUUUGCCAAGAAUGUCCCACAAGUGUAGGUAUUUUCCUUCAUGACUACCUGUAAGUGAAAUUUCUGUCUCCAGCUCUGUUAAAGUUAUGAAUGAUUUCCAGCCUUCUCAUGUACUGCACCUUGAAGGUAUUGAUGAGCUCUGGCCCUGCUCCCUGUGAGUGGAGGCAGUGCAUUGUUCCAUUGUUUCUAUGGCAGUCCCAAGCCUCGCUGUCCAAUUUCAGGGUUUGUUACUCAGCAGUGGAAGUCUCUCCAGGCUGGAAUUUGGAAAGGGGGCUUUCAGGCUGGGAACACCUACAAAACUUCUAAGCAGCUAUUCACUGUUAUACUCAAGGCCGAGCAAGGGAAUGAAUGGUUUUAGUGGCAGCUGGGCUGCUUUUGGUGAGUUAUUGAAAGUGAAAUGAUUUUCAAGCAGUGCAUGCAACAGUUCUGCUUUUGCUGCAGCUUCUGUCUCCUCAGCAUCUCCAUCUGCCCAGGGCACGUGUUCACUCUGGGCAAGGGAGCUCAGGUGCACAGACCGCUGCGAGUCUUGGUGGUCAGGCUAAAAUACAACUGAGGACCUUAAAAGGGGCAGCUUUCAAGACAAAUUCUUCUGUUUCUCUGAAUCCAGCCCUGAUCAGUACUUGUAGGCUCCUUGGCUCUCUAUGGAUGGAGAGGAAGGCCAGGUAUAGUCUCUAAGAGCUGUUUUUUUGAUUUAAAGGAGGCUUUUACAGUGAGAACUGAGAUGUUUAAUGAGUGCCUCUUUUCUGAUUCAUCAUUUCAGAGCUGUGUUUGGUGGUCUGGGUUACCUUCCCUCUCCAAUCCCCAGGAAAUCUUGUUAUUAAUGACAAAUGCUCAGGCUGCUGCUGGUGCCGGAGGGUUCACUGCACAGAGCAGGCUCAAGGGACAGGAAUAUCCCCUCGGGAAGGCUGAGGGGGUGGUUGGCAAUGAGAAAGAACCUACACUCUGUUCUGCAGCAAAAUGAGACACAAAUCAAAUGCUUCCACACCAAACAGGGAAACCCAAGGGCCCCUUUGCUGAUCGGGUAAGCUUGAGUGGCAGAAGGGGAAGGCAGAGCUGGGCGUGGGGGGGUGUGUUUGUCAAGGGAUCCCUUGCUUUCCACGCACUGUAGGAUGAACUGGUAGCUGGGACAUGAUUAGAAGCCAUCAAAAAUGAGGGAUGUUGGAGACGGGUUGAGCUGGACUCCAGCUCUCAAAGACAGGCUGAAAGCUCUGGAGUGGGUCCAAGGAGUGAAAUGGGUCAAGAAGCUCUAAAUCUAGGAAGUCUUUGUUUGUACAUCAGAAUGAAAAUAGGUAUUGUGGGUGUAUCCUGGGGACACCCUGAGUUCCAACGAGGUAUAUUCCCUUUCUUUCCCUGCCCACACUGGUGGGAAUGCCAUUCUGGUGACUGCCCUGAGGGCCUCCCCCUGCCUGCUGCUUCACCAGCAGCCCAGCAGCCCUGCUCCUGCAGCCAGCACCCUGGGGCAAAAGAGGAUGGAGAAGGGAUUGCUCUCUGCUCCAGCGCUGGGAACUGGGGACACAAACAGAGUCUGAGGCUGUUGCUGCUAGUUUUUGGUGGGAGAAGUCCCCUGGUUCAGCCUGUCCUGAGCUUCUUCCAAAGCUGAAAUCCAGAAAGUGCAGAUACAGCGCUGGGAUCAGCAGGCAGUCCCUGCCCUAGAGGAGGAUGGAGCUGUCGAGAUCUGCAGACGGAGAAUUUUGGAGGACUGCAGUGAAACAGGCAGCUGAAAACAUUCAGCUAGGUUGUAAGGGGUGAAAGAGACUGCUGAGGCACUGGGAGGGCAGGGUGCUUUCUGUGUCACAGGGAGCUGUGUGUGUCUCAGGACAGGUUGCACAACCUCAGCUGCUCCCACGAGUCACUGGGGGUGAGCUGUGCCAUGGGAAGCUCUGCGUGCGGAGCAGAAUUCCGUGCUAACGGGAAGGGAAUUUGUCUUGUUGUGUCUUUCUGCCUUUGAUUUCCCCUGAAACAAAGUGAAUCCCACAGGCAUUUCUUCCUCGCUUUCCUCCUGAAGUUGAUUAUUUGAAGUGAUUCAGGAAUUGCGGCGUUGAGGAGAAGGUUCCUAGGGAAGGCAGCUUCUGCUGCAUCCUGAGACUGAGUCAGGAGCACCCUGGGAAAAACUGAUCUGAUGCUCAGUGUCUGCAGCUCCAUGGCAGCCCACAGGGGUUUAAACCAUCAUAGGGCCUGGAGAAACAGCGAAACAGGGUAGCAGAGAGCUGGGGAUGUAGCUAGUGAGAGCAAAAUUGUGCUUUUCUCUCUGUCACCAGCAGCAUCAUUUCAGCCUCAGAUUAUUCCUGCAUCCAGGUCCAAUGCUCAGCCAAGCCGUGGGACAGGCCUGGCUUCCUGACAGCAAGGAAGUGUGAAUCCAAACCAGCCACCACCCUGUUUCUGGAGCAAAGCUGAUGUUCCCAAGGAAAUCCCUGUUCUGGGGUGGCAAGGUCCCGUGCCUUAGGGCUGUUCCAGUAUGUCAGGGAUCUGGCAGCAGGACAGUGGUGGGGUUGAUGGAGCAGGGAUGCACCUCCAAAUUAUAGCCUGGUCCUGUUGUGCUAAGGACAAAAUGGUGGUUGAGUAUUUUUUUUAAUAUAUUAAUGACAAGAUGACGUUUGACUAUUUUUAUUUUUAUCCUUCUCUAUUAUUUUCCCCUGCAGCUCUUUCUAAUGCUCUGCUGCUCCUCAGCCAGGAAGCCGGCGGGCUGCGUGACCCUGGCUGUCCCAGGCCCUCCUGUCCUCAGGACAUGGCUUUGCAGCUGGGACUAAAUCCACGUGCUAGCCAAAACCCCGGC